GGAAGAAUUGCUGAGUGGUCAAAGGCGAUAGACUGUAAAUCUAUUACUAUAUAGUUUCAUAAGUUCGAAUCUUAUUUCUUCCA
rnacentral:tRNA from 1 species